rnacentral:rRNA from 1 species
UACGUAGGGGGCAAGCGUUGUCCGGAUUCAUUGGGCGUAAAGAGCGUGUAGGCGGCCAGGUAGGUCGGUUGUGAAAACUGGAGGCUCAACCUUCAGACGUCGACCGAAACCAUCUGGCUAGAGUCCGGGAGAGGAGAGUGGAAUUCCUGGUGUAGCGGUGAAAUGCGCAGAUAUCAGGAGGAACACCGAUGGCGAAGGCAGGUCUCUGGGCCACUACUGACGCUGAGAAGCGAAAGCGUGGGGAGCGAACAGG